AGAGUUUGAUCCUGGCUCAGGAUGAACGCUGGCGGCGUGCUUAACACAUGCAAGUCGAACGAAGCACUUUACCACGAUUCCUUCGGGAUGACGGUUUAGUGACUGAGUGGCGGACGGGUGAGUAACGCGUGGGGAACCUGCCCCAUACCGGGGGAUAACAGCCGGAAACGGCUGCUAAUACCGCAUAAGCGCACAGUACCGCAUGGUACGGUGUGAAAAACUCCGGUGGUAUGGGAUGGACCCGCGUCUGAUUAGCCAGUUGGCGGGGUAACGGCCCACCAAAGCGACGAUCAGUAGCCGGCCUGAGAGGGCGACCGGCCACAUUGGGACUGAGACACGGCCCAGACUCCUACGGGAGGCAGCAGUGGGGAAUAUUGCACAAUGGGGGAAACCCUGAUGCAGCGACGCCGCGUGAGCGAAGAAGUAUUUCGGUAUGUAAAGCUCUAUCAGCAGGGAAGAAGAAAUGACGGUACCUGACUAAGAAGCACCGGCUAAAUACGUGCCAGCAGCCGCGGUAAUACGUAUGGUGCAAGCGUUAUCCGGAUUUACUGGGUGUAAAGGGAGCGCAGGCGGUACGGCAAGUCUGAUGUGAAAGCCCGGGGCUCAACCCCGGUACUGCAUUGGAAACUGCCGGACUAGAUUGCAGGAGAGGUAAGUGGAAUUCCUAGUGUAGCGGUGAAAUGCGUAGAUAUUAGGAGGAACACCAGUGGCGAAGGCGGCUUACUGGACGGUAACUGACGUUGAGGCUCGAAAGCGCGGGGAGCAAACAGGAUUAGAUACCCUGGUAGUCCACGCCGUAAACGAUG
rnacentral:rRNA from 1 species